GGACCCGACUGCUAUCGGAUUAAUACUAAGCCAUGCGAGUCUUUGCAGUAAUGCAAGGCAUACGGCUCAGUAACACGUAGUCAACCUACCCUAUGGACGAGGAUAAUCUCGGGAAACUGAGCAUAAUACUCGAUAGACCAUAAUGCCUGGAAUGGUUUAUGGUUAAAAUGAUUCAUCGCCAUAGGAUGGGACUGCGGCCUAUCAGCUUGUUGGUGAGGUAAUGGCCCACCAAGGCGAUUACAGGUACGGGCUCUGAGAGGAGAAGCCCGGAGAUGGGUACUGAGACAAGGACCCAGGCCCUAUGGGGCGCAGCAGGCGAGAAAACUUUGCAAUGUGCGAAAGCACGACAAGGUUAGUCCGAGUGAUUUCUGCUAAAGAGAUCUUUUGCAAGUUCUAAAACCACUAGUGAAUAAGGGGUGGGCAAGUUCUGGUGU
rnacentral:rRNA from 1 species